rnacentral:lncRNA from 1 species
GGGAAAGAAGGGACAUCUGGUGGAAUGAACUACGUGGUUAAAUCCUUUUUGAAUCAUCUUUUCUGACAACGGGGUGGAAGAGUAACUAGUUGACCACAGAGCUCUCUCUGUUCACAGUGAGAAACAUGCUUUGCCUUGGAGGGAGUCCAUCAGCUAAUAUUAACACAGAGAAGGCGAAAGUGCAGGUUGACAGGAAAGCCUGGCUCUCCCCUGACUCAAUUCAGGAGAUCAUUAAGGACGAAGUCUUGCUGUAAAGUACACCUCUCUUCCUCCGAUGACAGUGACAACCAGGGCGCUGAAUCAGGGGCAGCCUGCUCUCCUUUGACAAACACCCACCCACUUUGGAAUGCUGGAUUCUAUUAUUCCCAUCAUGGUCUUCCUGGGGCAGUCACAUGCUGCCUACAACAUCUUGCGCUUCUAAAGCUCAUCAUCUCAUUCCAUCCUUAAACGUAUUUCCACAUCAUCACCUCCCAUUAUUGUGCUGGUGAGCACUCCUGGAUUCCUGUGAGCAUCCUGGGGGAAGGAUGCCUCUCCUUCAGUGUACUGAUGUCAGCUCUCUCCUGUGGGUCAUUGAUUUCCCAAAGCUUCUAAAAGACACCUUGCAGUGCGUUAAAAUCACCAUCAGGGCUAUGCAGAGUGCCAUCUCCUGAAUUCCUGCAGCAUUCUCACUUUGAUGCUGCAAACAGAGGAAGAUACCAAACAAAUUGUGACAGCCACAGGAAAUGAUUCUACAGGAGAGACAGCAUCACA